AGGGUGCAGGGCGGAUGCCUUGGCACUAGGAGCCGAUGAAGGACGUGAUAAGCUGCGAUAAGCUUCGGGGAGUUGCACGUAAACUUUGAUCCGAAGAUUUCCGAAUGAGGAAACUCACUUAGAGUAAUGUCUAAGUAUCAUUAAGUGAAUACAUAGCUUAAUGAGGGGAACUCAGGGAACUGAAACAUCUAAGUACCUGAAGGAAGAGAAAGAAAUUCGAUUCCGUAAGUAGCGGCGAGCGAACGCGGAUUAGCCCAAACCAAUAAAGUUUUCUUUAUUGGGGUUGCGGACAUAUCAUAACGAAGAGGUAUCGUAAUUGAAGAGGUUUGGAAAGACCCACCACAGAAGGUAAUAGUCCUGUAUGUUAAACGAGAAGACUUUAGAUAUGAUCCAGAGUACCACGGGACACGUGAAACCCUGUGGGAAGCAGGAGGGACCACCCUCCAAGGCUAAAUACUACCUAGUGACCGAUAGCGUAUAGUACCGUGAGGGAAAGGUGAAAAGAACCCCGGGAGGGGAGUGAAAUAGAACCUGAAACCCUGCACUUACAAGCUGUGGAAGCACAUUUCUUGUGUGACCGCGUACUUUUUGUAGAACGGGCCAACGAGUUACGUUAAGUAGCAAGGUUAAGCACUUAAGGUGCGGAGCCGUAGCGAAAGCGAGUUUUAACUGAGCGUUCAGUUACUUGACGUAGACCCGAAACCGGGCGACCUACCCAUGAGCAGGAUGAAGCGAAAGUAAAAUUUCGUGGAGGUCCGAACCCACGAGCGUUGAAAAGCUCGGGGAUGACUUGUGGGUAGCGGUGAAAUUCCAAUCGAGCCCGGAGAUAGCUGGUUCUCCCCGAAAUAGCUUUAGGGCUAGCCUCAAGGUGAGAGAUACGGAGGUAGAGCACUGAAUGUCCUAGGGGGUAUUGCACCUACCGAAGACUAUCAAACUCCGAAUGCCGUCAUCUUAUACUUGGGAGUCAGACUGUGGGUGAUAAGAUUCAUAGUCGAAAGGGCAACAGCCCAGAUCGUCAGCUAAGGUCCCUAAAUGUAAGUUAAGUGGUAAAGGAUGUGGGAUUGCACAGACAACCAGGAUGUUGGCUUAGAAGCAGCCACUCAUUCAAAGAGUGCGUAAUAGCUCACUGGUCGAGUGAUCCUGCGCCGAAGAUUUCCGGGGCUAAAACUUACUACCGAAGCUACGGCAUCAGUAAUGAUGGGUAGGGGAGCUUCCCAUACGGGUUGAAGCAUGACCGUAAGGACAUGUGGACAGUAUGGGAGUGAGAAUGUUGGCAUGAGUAGCGAGAUGUGGGUGAGAAUCCCACAGGCCGUAAACCCAAGGUUUCCAGGGGAAGGUUCGUCCGCCCUGGGUUAGUCGGGACCUAAGCUGAGGCCGAAAGGCGUAGGUGAUGGACAACAGGUUGAUAUUCCUGUACUACCGAUAACCGUUUGAGAGAAGGGAUGACACAGUAGGAUAAGCUAAGCACACUGUUGGUUAUGUGUGCCCAAGCAUUGAGGCAGUCAAAGUAGGCAAAUCCGCUUUGAUAAUGCUGGGAUGUGAUGGGGAGCGAAAUUUAGUAGCGAAGUAGCUGAUUUCACACUGUCAAGAAAAGUCUCUAUCGAGGUUAAAGGUACCCGUACCGCAAACCGACACAGGUGGGUGAGGAGAGUAUCCUAAGGCCAGCGAGAGAACUGUUGUUAAGGAACUCGGCAAAAUGACCCCGUAACUUAGGGAUAAGGGGUGCCACCAUCAGGUGGCCGCAGAGAAUAGGCCCAAGCGACUGUUUACCAAAAACAUAGGUUUCUGCUAAGUCGCAAGACGAUGUAUAGGAGCUGACGCCUGCCCGGUGCUGGAAGGUUAAGGGGAUCUGUUAGAGCAAUCGAAGCAGUGAACUUAAGCCCCAGUAAACGGCGGCCGUAACUAUAACGGUCCUAAGGUAGCGAAAUUCCUUGUCGGGUAAGUUCCGACCCGCACGAAAGGCGUAACGAUUUGGGCACUGUCUCAACAACAGACUCGGUGAAAUUGUAAUUCCGGUGAAGAUGCCGGAUACCUGCGACAGGACGGAAAGACCCCAUGGAGCUUUACUGUAGCUUGACAUUGGGUCUUGGUACUACAUGUACAGGAUAGGUGGGAGGCUUUGAAACCAGGACGCCAGUUUUGGCGGAGCCAUCCUUGGGAUACCACCCUUGUAGUACUGGGACUCUAACCAUAGGCCAUGAAUCUGGUCUUGGGACACUGUCAGGUGGGCAGUUUGACUGGGGCGGUCGCCUCCCAAAAGGUAACGGAGGCGCUCAAAGGUUCUCUCAGUACGGUCGGAAAUCGUACGUAGAGUGUAAAGGCAAAAGAGAGCUUGAUUGCAAGACAUACAGGUCGAGCAAGGAUGAAAAUCGGACUUAGUGAUCCGGUGGUUCUGCGUGGAAGGGCCAUCGCUCAACGGAUAAAAGCUACCCUGGGGAUAACAGGCUUAUCU
rnacentral:rRNA from 1 species